AUUGAACGCUGGCGGCAUGCUUUACACAUGCAAGUCGAACGGUAACAGCACUUCGGUGGCUGACGAGUGGCGAACGGGUGAGUAAUACAUCGGAACGUGCCUAGUAGUGGGGGAUAACUACUCGAAAGAGUAGCUAAUACCGCAUGAGAUCUAAGGAUGAAAGCAGGGGACCUUCGGGCCUUGCGCUACUAGAGCGGCUGAUGGCAGAUUAGGUAGUUGGUGGGAUAAAAGCUUACCAAGCCGACGAUCUGUAGCUGGUCUGAGAGGACGACCAGCCACACUGGGACUGAGACACGGCCCAGACUCCUACGGGAGGCAGCAGUGGGGAAUUUUGGACAAUGGGCGCAAGCCUGAUCCAGCAAUGCCGCGUGCAGGAUGAAGGCCUUCGGGUUGUAAACUGCUUUUGUACGGAACGAAAAGCCCUCUUCUAAUACAGGAGGGUCAUGACGGUACCGUAAGAAUAAGCACCGGCUAGCUACGUG
rnacentral:rRNA from 1 species